CUGAGGCACAUUAAGCUUCACUGAGGGAGAACCGGUACGUUUUAUCAUAGGGCAGGACAGCUACCUGCACGACAUGUCACCUGCAGGGACUGGCUUUUGCCCCGAUGUGCAGGGAAUAUGUGUAGGGAGAGAGAAAUGCAUAGGUGUGCAGAUUUUGGCAUGUGUGCAUGAAGCCUGGAAGAAUUUUCCUUGGAUCCACAAUCAAAAUGGAUUUCCAAGCGGGAGCUGAUCUGAGCACACAUCUCUUAUGUGGGCUGCCUAUGGCCCCAUUUCACCAGGCAGGUCCUCAACAAAUGAUCGGCGCCUGCUUCAGCUCUGGCCAGAGCUCUCUGGCCCAUGUGGUGGGCAGAACCCUGACACGAGGACAGAGAAGCAUCUCAGAGACUCGAGGAGGAAUUGAGUGUCUCACCACCUUCCUGCAGGUCUUCUGAACAUGUCUGAGCAUAGGAGGCUCUUCCUUCAACAGGCAAGUCAGUAGCUGCUGCGAUAAACACGACACAAGCUUGAGCUAGCGUGAAUAUCAGCCAUCAGCUGUCCACGGAGUUCUGACCAUGUGCCAUGCACUGUGCUAAGCACCCUCUCAUUUAAUCCUUUCAACAAUCCCUCUGAGAAGAAUCCAGAUGUUUUUAGAACUUAGCUUCUCAGCGAAUGACGUGGCAAGGUGGACACUUCAGUAUGGUAAAAGAGACUGGUGUGGCAAGGACAUUCAAGAUAGGGUCGGUCCGGCCUAUCCUCUGCAGCUGAACCAACCCCACCAGCCUCAGACAGCAUAUUGAUUUCGCUGUGUUUUCACUUGAAACACCAGAGGAAUGUCCAUACCUUGUCCUUGGGCCAGGCUUAGGGGGCAGGAGAGCUAGAAGUCUGGCCAGAGUCAUGUCACCCUUGGAGGAACCGAGAGGCGAUAUUACUCAGAGAUUCCUUAUUUUUGAGAUGGAUGGGUAGACAAAUGGAUGGACGGACAGAUGGAUGGAUGGAUGGACGUAUGGAUGGACGGACGGACGGACGGAUGGAUGGGGGAGAUCAGAAGCCAGCCCUCUAGGAGAGUCCCAUCAGUCUUCUUAAGAGAACCCAGUGAUUCAUUUCCUGGUCAGAAACCUGCUCCUAUAGAUGAACCACGUCCAUUGGCUCUGUCGGACUCGCUGUGGCUCAGGCGGAGGCUGAAGAGAACAGCAGCGGGUGGUGGGUGAAGCCCAGCCCUUGGAGUCUGAGAGCCUGUGUGGCCGCCCUGGUUACUUCUCCCCCAACUCAGGUCCCAGGGAGCCUGUUUGCAGAGGGAGAGCGGAGAUGUUUGCUGCACAGGUGCUUUACAAAUACAACGGAUUGAAAACCACCUGCAUCCCCAUGGUCUGGAACUGGUUCAUGAUUUUCAGUUCAGCUGUAGAAUGGAAUUCUGUGCCGUCAUUAAGAAUAAAAGAAAUCCUGUACUUUCUGCUUUUAGUGUUAGGUUACACAAACGAACAAACACCUCCGUCUUGGGCAGCCUGGUUUCGUGGCUUGCAGAUGCCCCAUGGCUGGUCUGCACAUCAGCCUGGGCUGGGGGCUGCUCUGCUGCCAUCGGGGGCCCCUCAUGGUGGCGUGCAAAGAAGUCGAGUCAAAAUACGCCCAGAGCACCUGGUUGGCUCAGUGGGUUAAAGCCUCUGCCUUCGGCUCAGGUCAUGAUCCCAGGGUCCUGGGAUCGACCCCCACAUCAGGCUCUCUGCUCGGCAGGGAGCCUGCUUCCCCCUCUCUCUCUGCCUGCCUCUCUGCCUACUUGUGA